rnacentral:rRNA from 1 species
UACAGAGGGUGCAAGCGUUGUUCGGAAUUAUUGGGCGUAAAGGGAGUGUAGGCGGUUUUUUAAGUCUUCUGUGAAAUCUACGGGCUCAGCCUGUAACGUGCAGAAGAAACUGGAGAGCUUGAGUGUCGGAGAGGAUAGUGGAAUUCCCGGUGUAGAGGUGAAAUUCGUAGAGAUCGGGAGGAACACCAGUGGCGAAGGCGACUAUCUGGCUGACAACUGACGCUGAGACUCGAAAGCAUGGGGAGCAAACAGG